AACGAACGCUGGCGGCAGGCCUAACACAUGCAAGUCGAGCGGACCCUUCGGGGUUAGCGGCGGACGGGUGAGUAACGCGUGGGAAUAUGCCCUUCUCUACGGAAUAGUCCUGGGAAACUGGGGGUAAUACCGUAUACGCCCUUUGGGGGAAAGAUUUAUCGGGGAAGGAUUAGCCCGCGUUGGAUUAGGUAGUUGGUGGGGUAAUGGCCUACCAAGCCGACGAUCCAUAGCUGGUUUGAGAGGAUGAUCAGCCACACUGGGACUGAGACACGGCCCAGACCCCUGCGGGAGGAGGGAGUGGGGAUUCUUAGAGAAGGGGGGAAACCCUGAUCCACCUACGCCGCGUGAGUGAAGAAGCCCUUGGGGUUGAAAAUCUCUUGAGGCGGGAAAGAAAAGGGGGGAACGAGAAAAAGAAGCCCCGGCAACCUCGGUC
rnacentral:rRNA from 1 species